GCGCCCGUAGCUCAACUGGACAGAGUGUCGGGCUUCGAACCCGAAGGUUGCAGGUUCGACUCCUGCCGGGCGCA
rnacentral:tRNA from 1 species